AGGGAAUUUUCCACAAUGGGCGAAAGCCUGAUGGAGCAACGCCGCGUGCAGGAUGAAGGCCUUCGGGUCGUAAACUGCUUUUAUGAGUGAUGAUUUAAGACAGUAACUCAAGAAUAAGGGUCGGCUAACUACGUGCCAGCAGCCGCGGUAAUACGUAGGAUCCAAGCGUUAUCCGGAAUUACUGGGCGUAAAGAGUUGUGUAGGCGGCUUGUUAAGUUGGUAGUGAAAGCGUGUGGCUCAACCACAUAUCCAUUAUCAAAACUGGCAAGCUAGAGGGCGAGAGAGGUUAUUGGAAUUCCAAGUGUAGGAGUGAAAUCCGUAGAUAUUUGGAGGAACACCGAUGGCGUAGG
rnacentral:rRNA from 1 species